AGGAUGCUUAGUGGAGGCUCCAGCCCCUGACUGUAGAAACCAGAGAGUCUGAGGCCCAGACUAGAGCCAGUUGCCCACAGCUAGUCAACAGGAGUUGGAGUCCUAACAAGUUACCUGCUCCAGGGAGCUUGGAGACCCCGACUACAAAUGGACCCCAGCUUCAGGACACAUGUCUUCUGAGCCAAUGUGAGGAAGGACAGCUGCUCCCCAGGAAAGGCAUCUCUGAGUCUGAGUUAGCACACUUGGCCAGAGCGUCAUUGGAUGUAAACAGAAACACAGUGACUGUAAACAGAAAUGAAGAAUUGGCUCCGUAACUCCCAUUGACUACUUCUUCUUACAGUAAUACAGUAGGUCUUAUUCUAUGUUUCAUCAUGGAAGCAAUGCUUUAGAGGAGAAGGAUUAAGAUAAGAUCCUUGGAGCUACAUAGGAACUUCAAUACUGGCUCAGAGCAGCGGCCCAUCUAGUCCUUUGUUGUCUGAGACCAUGGCUGGCACUAGACACUUCAGUGGAAGGUUCCAAAAUAUAACUCCAUAAUUCACAAGGGCAGAAUAACAUGUACAUAGGAGAUGUUUUAUUCUAAUGCCAGACACAUCCACUGGCCUCUUCAACUAGCCAUCCGUGGAGAGACUCUAGUGUACUCUGUGCUGUGGUGGUGGUGAUGUGCCAGGAGGAUGGGGACAGGCGUGUCAGGAGAGGUCCAGUUUUUUAUUUUUGUUUUGUUUUUUGAGGAGUAGAAGUUCUGCUAGAACCAAGCCCACUUUAGUGCUAAUGCACACUUGUCUAGUUAAUCUUGAGAGGACUAUGCUGUUCUCAAACCCUCAGAUAACUAUUUCACAGAGCUGCCACUUCAGCUGAAAUUUCUCUAGCUUGGUCUCGUCCUCAAAGACAUUUUACAGAAAAGUUCUCC